GAUGAAGAACGCAGCGAAAUGCGAUAAGUAGUGUGAAUUGCAGAAUUCAGUGAAUCAUCGAAUCUUUGAACGCACAUUGCGCCCCUUGGUAUUCCAUGGGGCAUGCCUGUUCGAGCGUCAUUUGUACCUUCAAGCUCUGCUUGGUGUUGGGUGUUUGUCUCGCCUCUGCGUGUAGACUCGCCUCAAAACAAUUGGCAGCCGGCGUAUUGAUUUCGGAGCGCAGUACAUCUCGCGCUUUGCACUCAUAACGACGACGUCCAAAAGUACAUUUUUACACUCUUGACCUCGGAUCAGGUAGGGAUACCCGCUGAACUUAAGCAUAUCAAUAAUCGGAGA
rnacentral:misc_RNA from 1 species